GCCCACAAUCUAGCCCUACUCAACCGAAUAAACUAAAUAAAUUUAUAUUACAAACUAAAACAUUCUAAUAUCCUAGUAAAGGCGAUUGAAAAUUUUUUAGGAGCUACACAAAUAGUACCGCAAGGGAAAGGUGAAAGAUUGAUGAAACACUCAUUAAGCGCAAUAUAGUAGAGACAUACCCUCGUACCUUUUGCAUCAUGGUUUAACUAGUCAAAUUAAGCAAAAUGACUUAUAGUUUAACUUCCCGAAACUAAGCGAGCUACUUCAGGGCAGCUUAUUGAGCAUACCCGUCUCUGUCGCAAAAGAGUGGGGAGACCUUCAAGUAGCGGUGACAGACCUAACGAGCUUAGUGAUAGCUGGUUACUUAGGAAAAGGAUUUGAGUCCAACCUAAAGUCUUAUAAAUAUUUUCAAAAUGAAAAUCUCACUUUAGAGUCACUCAAGUAAGGUACAGCCUACUUGAAACAGGAUACAACCUUCAGGGAAGGGUAAUUUAAUUUUAAAUAAUUAAGUAGGCCUAAAAGCAGCCACCUUUGAGACAGCGUCAUAGCUCCACUAUUUAUUUUUAUAAUUCCUGAAAUCAUUAGGAACCCCCCCGUUAGUACUAAGUACUUCUAUAAUUUUAUAGAAUAUUUUAUGUUAAAACUAGUAACAAGAAAAAGAAUUUCACUUCAAUAUAAGUGUAAGUCAGAUAGGACAAACCACUGACCAUUAACAUAUCUGCAGAAAAAUUAAUAACUCCUCAAGAAAAACUUAAUUUCCACUAUGUUAACCUAACACCAGAAUAUUACAAGUAAGAUUAAAAGAAAAAGAAGGAAUUCGGCAAAUAUUAACCCCGCCUGUUUACCAAAAACAUCGCCUCUUGAAUAAUUAUAAGAGGUCCAGCCUGCCCAGUGACUUUGUUCAACGGCCACGGUAUUCUAACCGCGCGAAGGUAGCGUAAUCACUUGCCCUUUAAAUAAGGACUAGUAUGAACGGCAUCACGAGGGUUUAACUGUCUCCUUUUUCUAAUCAGUGAAUCUAAUCUCCCCGUGAAGAAGCGGGGGUAGAUAUAUAAGACGAGAAGACCCUAUGGAGCUUUAAACUAACAACACUUGCUUUAUCUUUUAAUACUUCAGAGUAACCAACUUUUUUUGCCCCAUGAUUUUUUAGUUUUGGGUUGGGGAGACCAUGGAGUAAAAAAUAACCUCCACAUUGAACGGAAUAUAUUCCUGAACCACGAGCUACGACUCUACGCACCAAUAAACUGACAUCAAUUGACCCAAUAUAUUGAUCAACGAACCAAGUUACCCUAGGGAUAACAGCGCAAUCCGCCUUGAGAGCUCCUAUCGACAGGCGGGUUUACGACCUCGAUGUUGGAUCAGGGUAUCCCAGUGGUGCAGCCGCUACUAACGGUUCGUUUGUUCAACGAUUAAAACCCU
rnacentral:rRNA from 1 species